rnacentral:lncRNA from 1 species
AAUAUUACUAAAAAGUUAAUGAACAUUAUAAUACCAACAAGUGUCCUGGGAGUCUUACUCCCAGAACAAAAAGUCUCUAAUUUUUACUAGUUGCUGAUGGACCCUGCCUUCAUGUUUCUAAAUAACAUACUUCUAUUUCUUUUUUUUAAAUUUAGAAAUUUUAGACCUUAUUUAUUGCCAUGAUAUUAUGGUAAAUGAGGAUCAUCAUUGUUUCAACCCCUCAUUUCCUUGUCCCUCGAUUCCAUAGAUGGCUGUUUUAUCCUACAUCAAUUCAUCUUUUCUAAGUUGUGAUUAUCUUCCACAUUCUUUCUUUGCAAGUUGAAGUUUCAAGGAAAAGUUUGCUCUCCGAUUUUAGUAAACCUGCUUAGCCACCACACCACUUUGGCUAUUUUAUUAUAAUGAUGGUAAGUUAGAUCAUUUCAUACCCAAAUAUGUUGAUGUUUCCAUAUAUCACAUACACUUCAAUUUAAACUGCCUGAUUUUUUUGUCCACCUAUAUUUAGGGCAUAUAUGACAAAGUCACAGUGAGAUCACUGCCACUGCUAAAUGCUGUUCCUUUCUAAAGACUGAUGUAUAGACUUCACUCUAUAUUUAAAAAUCACAAAAACAAUUCAUCUUAUCAAAACUGAAAUGAGGACACCUCAAAAUUUAUCAAGAGAUGGGCUUUUACCAAGGGAUGUCAGUGCCAGUGGAAGAACCCAAGCCUACUGGAGGGCCAUAAAUACGACUGCUGUUGCCAUUUUGCUUACCCAGACUUUUUAUACUAGCAAGGCUGUACUUUUUUGUGAAGUUCUAUCUCUGUUACAUCAAUUGAGGUUGAAACAUCCAGUGGCUUCACAUCAACAACCAGAAGGCUCAAACUGUAUCACUUGCUGCACUUUUAUUUCUGGGAGAUCCUCAUGGAAGGUAUGUAAAAAAUAGUAAAAUGUCCUGUCAUGAAAAUGCCAUCUAUUGUUUGGUUGAAGCUGAAACUGAUACAUUUGAUCAACUCGUAGAUAAAG